CGGUCAUUCGGUUCUGGGUCAAAGUUCCAGUCUUGUCAGAGCAGAUGGUGGAGGUCGAGCCAAGAAGAGAACAGGUCUGAACU